GUUAAGCGACUAAGCGUACACGGUGGAUGCCCUGGCAGUCAGAGGCGAUGAAGGACGUGCUAAUCUGCGAUAAGCGUCGGUAAGGUGAUAUGAACCGUUAUAACCGGCGAUUUCCGAAUGGGGAAACCCAGUGUGAUUCGUCACACUAUCAUUAACUGAAUCCAUAGGUUAAUGAGGCGAACCGGGGGAACUGAAACAUCUAAGUACCCCGAGGAAAAGAAAUCAACCGAGAUUCCCCCAGUAGCGGCGAGCGAACGGGGAGCAGCCCAGAGCCUGAAUCAGUGUGUGUGUUAGUGGAAGCGUCUGGAAAGGCGCGCGAUACAGGGUGACAGCCCCGUACACAAAAAUGCACAUGCUGUGAGCUCGAUGAGUAGGGCGGGACACGUGGUAUCCUGUCUGAAUAUGGGGGGACCAUCCUCCAAGGCUAAAUACUCCUGACUGACCGAUAGUGAACCAGUACCGUGAGGGAAAGGCGAAAAGAACCCCGGCGAGGGGAGUGAAAAAGAACCUGAAACCGUGUACGUACAAGCAGUGGGAGCACAGAGCAAUCUGUGUGACUGCGUACCUUUUGUAUAAUGGGUCAGCGACUUAUAUUCUGUAGCAAGGUUAACCGAAUAGGGGAGCCGAAGGGAAACCGAGUCUUAACUGGGCGUUAAGUUGCAGGGUAUAGACCCGAAACCCGGUGAUCUAGCCAUGGGCAGGUUGAAGGUUGGGUAACACUAACUGGAGGACCGAACCGACUAAUGUUGAAAAAUUAGCGGAUGACUUGUGGCUGGGGGUGAAAGGCCAAUCAAACCGGGAGAUAGCUGGUUCUCCCCGAAAGCUAUUUAGGUAGCGCCUCGUGAAUUCAUCUCCGGGGGUAGAGCACUGUUUCGGCAAGGGGGUCAUCCCGACUUACCAACCCGAUGCAAACUGCGAAUACCGGAGAAUGUUAUCACGGGAGACACACGGCGGGUGCUAACGUCCGUCGUGAAGAGGGAAACAACCCAGACCGCCAGCUAAGGUCCCAAAGUCAUGGUUAAGUGGGAAACGAUGUGGGAAGGCCCAGACAGCCAGGAUGUUGGCUUAGAAGCAGCCAUCAUUUAAAGAAAGCGUAAUAGCUCACUGGUCGAGUCGGCCUGCGCGGAAGAUGUAACGGGGCUAAACCAUGCACCGAAGCUGCGGCAGCGACACUGUGUGUUGUUGGGUAGGGGAGCGUUCUGUAAGCCUGCGAAGGUGUGCUGUGAGGCAUGCUGGAGGUAUCAGAAGUGCGAAUGCUGACAUAAGUAACGAUAAAGCGGGUGAAAAGCCCGCUCGCCGGAAGACCAAGGGUUCCUGUCCAACGUUAAUCGGGGCAGGGUGAGUCGACCCCUAAGGCGAGGCCGAAAGGCGUAGUCGAUGGGAAACAGGUUAAUAUUCCUGUACUUGGUGUUACUGCGAAGGGGGGACGGAGAAGGCUAUGUUG
rnacentral:rRNA from 1 species